rnacentral:rRNA from 1 species
GACGAACGCUGGCGGCGUGCUUAACACAUGCAAGUCGAACGGAAAGGCCCUGCUUUUGUGGGGUGCUCGAGUGGCGAACGGGUGAGUAACACGUGUGUAACCUGCCCUUGACUUUGGGAUAACUUCAGGAAACUGGGGCUAAUACCGGAUAGGAGCUCCUGCUGCAUGGUGGGGGUUGGAAAGUUUCGGCGGUUGGGGAUGGACUCGCGGCUUAUCAGCUUGUUGGUGGGGUAGUGGCUUACCAAGGCUUUGACGGGUAGCCGGCCUGAGAGGGUGACCGGCCACAUUGGGACUGAGAUACGGCCCAGACUGCUACGGGAGGCAGCAGUGGGGAAUAUUGCACAAUGGGCGGAAGCCUGAUGCAGCAACGCCGCGUGCGGGAUGACGGCCUUCGGGUUGUAAACCGAUUUCGCCUGUGACGAAGCGUGAGUGACGGUAAUGGGUAAAGAAGCACCGGCUAACUACGUG